rnacentral:rRNA from 1 species
AGGGUUUGAUCAUGGCUCAGGACGAACGCUGGCGGCGUGCUUUAUACAUGCAAGUCGAACGAUGAAGUUCCUUCGGGAAUGGAUUAGUGGCGAACGGGUGAGGAACACGUGAGAAACCUGCCUUUCAUUCUGGAAUAACACCGGGAAACCGGUGCUAAUACCGGAUACUCCGUCUUGGCGGCAUCGCCGAGCCGGGAAAAAAUUUUGAUGAAAGAUGGUCUCGCGGCCUAUCAGCUAGUUGGUGAGGUAAUGGCUCACCAAGGCGACGACGGGUAGCUGGUCUGAGAGGAUGGCCAGCCACAUUGGGACUGCGACACGGCCCAGACUCCUACGGGAGGCAGCAGUGGGGAAUAUUGCGCAAUGGACGAAAGUCUGACGCAGCGACGCCGCGUGUGGGAUGAAGCCUUUCGGGGCGUAAACCACUGUUGCCCGGGACGAACCUCCCCUUUCGAGGGGACUGACGGUACCGGGUGAGGAAGCACCGGCUAACUCUGUGCCAGCAGCCGCGGUAAUACAGAGGGUGCGAGCGUUGUCCGGAAUCACUGGGCGUAAAGGGCGCGUAGGUGGCUGGGUAAGCGUGUGGUGAAAGUCCGGGGCUCAACCCCGGAUCUGCCGUGCGAACUGCCGAGCUUGAGCGAUGUAGAGGCAGGUGGAAUUUCGGGUGUAGCGGUGGAAUGCGUAGAGAUCCGAAAGAACACCAGUGGCGAAGGCGGCCUGCUGGGCAUCCGCUGACACUGAGGCGCGACAGCGUGGGGAGCAAACAGGAUUAGAUACCCUGGUAGUCCACGCCGUAAACGAUGGGUACUAGGUGUCUGGGAGAGCGACCCCCUGGGUGCCGGCGCUAACGCAUGAAGUACCCCGCCUGGGGAGUACGGCCGCAAGGCUGAAACUCAAAGGAAUUGACGGGGGCCCGCACAAGCGGUGGAGCAUGUGGUUUAAUUCGACGCAACGCGAAGAACCUUACCUAGGCUUGACAUGCUGGAGAAAGCUUGCGGAAACGUGAGCCCCUUCUUCGGAGUUCCAGCACAGAUGCUGCAUGGCUGUCGUCAGCUCGUGUCGUGAGAUGUUGGGUUAAGUCCCGCAACGAGCGCAACCCUCACCCUUAGUUACCAGCGGGUAAAGCCGGGGACUCUAGGGGGACUGCCGGUGCCAAACCGGAGGAAGGUGGGGAUGACGUCAAGUCAUCAUGGCUCUUACGUCUAGGGCUACACACGUGCUACAAUGGGCCAGACAGAGGGCUGCCAACUCGCGAGAGUGCGCCAAUCCCCAAACUGGUCCUCAGUUCGGAUUGUAGUCU